rnacentral:rRNA from 1 species
AGCGAACGCUGGCGGCAGGCCUAACACAAGCAAGUCGAACGGAUCCUUCGGGAUUAGUGGCGGACGGGUGAGUAACACGUGGGAACGUGCCCUUUGGUUCGGAACAACUCAGGGAAACUUGAGCUAAUACCGGAUGUGCCCUUCGGGGGAAAGAUUUAUCGCCAUUGGAGCGGCCCGCGUCUGAUUAGCUAGUUGGUGAGGUAAAGGCUCACCAAGGCGACGAUCAGUAGCUGGUCUGAGAGGAUGAUCAGCCACAUUGGGACUGAGACACGGCCCAAACUCCUACGGGAGGCAGCAGUGGGGAAUCUUGCGCAAUGGGCGAAAGCCUGACGCAGCCAUGCCGCGUGAAUGAUGAAGGUCUUAGGAUUGUAAAAUUCUUUCACCGGGGACGAUAAUGGCGGUACCCGGAGAAGAAGCCCCGGCUAACUUCGUGCCAGCCGCCACGGUAAGAC